UGGGUGACAGCAAGACUCCAUCUCAAAAAAAAAAAAAAAAUAGAUUGCAUAAAAAUAUUUCAAUCUGUUCAUUUGUAACCUCUUUCUUAGUCUUAUUGUUUCUUUACUGUGGAAAGAACAGGGAUAUACAAUUAGAUUUUUGAUAAAUGUUUUUUAGAAUAACUAUCAUCCUUUUUUGCUUACCUGUUUUCUCAGUCAUUUAUAUAAUUUUUGUGUGGGAACUUCCUGGGCUUUCUAAGAACUUUCUACUUUUAUGUAUUUUUAUUUAUUUGUUUUAGAUUGACUUGACCAAACCGGAGCUAGCAUUCAUGAUCUUACUGUGCUUUUCGGUUGUAAUAACCCUGUAACACUUUGUUUUCCACUGUUUUUCAUGCUACCUGGUAUGUGUGUGUGUGUCUGUCUCUCUGUCUGCAGGUAUGUAUAUUUUGCAUUCACCUAUACUUCAUAUCCCCAGGUCAUUUUUGCUUUAGAAAUUAGAACAUAAUUCAAGGCCCAAGAGUACAGAAAAUAUAAUUUCUGUGAUUCUUUCCUUGACCUUCAGUGUUGCGUUUUGCCGCUUAUUCCAUAUAAUUCAGGUAUUUGGACUUUCAAGAUCUUGUUCCAGAUGAGAAUUAUGAUCUUUCCUUUUUCCAGACAGAAAUUGGCCAUUCCCCUUACCCUUCUUACUCACUGCCAUGUUUAUUUCCCACAAAUUAAAUCCCAUAGUUAUGAAGUCUCCAGAAAGAUGUUAAUUUUUUUUCAAAAAUGUUAGCAUUGAAGGGCCUCUUUACUCUCUUCCCUCUUCUUGAAAUUAACUAUAUAUUUUAAGCAGCAAUUUUCUGUGGCAUGCAGAAUUGUGGAAUUGCACAGACUUUAUAAAGAGGAUUCACUUAAGAACGGAAGUGGCUGGCUUUUUUUGGUGGGUGUUCUGGAAGAUGUUUUUGCGGGCUUGCUUUCCUUUAAUGUGCCACUGUUAGCAAUUUCAAAGCUGGAAGAUGCUCAUAAACAGCUUUUCAUAUUAAUUUAGGAGAAAAACCUUUCUCUGUUCAUGAUUGUAUUGUUUUCCACUAGAAUCUGAAAAUGAAUGAUUGUUAUUUUUCAUUUAGUAUCCAUAAUCCAAUUUAAAUUUUACACAAGGACUUCAUUUUACAAAUGAGAGGACUGAAUCUCCAGAAGAUCCAUUGACUGGCUUAGAUUGAUACAGUCCAUGAAAUAACAGAGCUGGAGUUUUGGCUGUAAAUCCUAUUCAUAUUCAGAGUUUUGGCUGUAAAUCCAAUUGAUACCCAGUGUUUUGACUGUAAAUUAAAUGUUCUCACCACUAGAAUGAAGCUACAUUUUGGAAGUUGCCCCCUUAAACUUUAUCAAAAAACAUAUGGUUAGUGCCUACAUAUAAUUUCUGGCAUUGCAUAAUGUAGUUUAAAAUAACAGAGUAGGAGCUUAUAGGUUGACAUGAAGGUUUUUGUUAGCUGGAAGAAAGCAGAUUCUACCUACUUUUCGCUAUUUCCUGAUCAUUCUCUUAGGUAACCAAGGCAAACAAGUUAAAAUCAUUUAAAAAGGGAUGUUAAAAUGUUCCGUGCCUACAGAAAUUAUAUUAUUGUUUGUCCUCUAAAUAUAUAAUUUACAUCAUCAAGUCAAUGUGGGUUGCCAUUUUUUGAGCAUUUGAUAUGUCUAAAGGUUUCUCCUUUUGUUCCUUCAACUCCACUGACUCCCUUCUUCAUUAUGAAUGUGAUUUUGGAGAAUAAAUUUGGAACUUCAUUGUUCUCUUUUCCUCCAUUAAAGUCUUUUUAAAAAUAUUUUAUUUGUUGUUUUAUUCUGAGAUCACAGUUACCAGAUUCAUAGCAAACAUCUAGGAUAACUUUAUUUCUCUUAGCUUCUCGCUUCAUUGCUGAAGACAAAAUAUUAUGAAAACAACAGCAAUAAAACAUAAAGGUAGAGUUUUCUGCUAAGUCCUGUUUUGAUUUAAUCAAGAUUUCUCUUUUAGUUGUUUUCUUCUUUGUGCAUUGGUUAGAGAUGAUAUUUUGGGUGUUAUAAACCCUUAUGUUUAAAGCUGCUGCUUUAGGUGGAGUUGGAAUGUAUCUAUCAGCACAGUGUGUGUCUUUGGUGCAUCUUGGCUGUUUCAGAACCAAUUUUUUUCAAAAACAACUCCAUUCCAUGAGACUGGUGGAAAUGUGGUGUCCAGAAAGGCUUGUGGGAUGUGGCCAGAGUCUUUGAGAAGGGCUCUCUAGUUAGUGAAGAUAUACCAGUGGAUAUACCUGUGGGUAG